GGUUUGAUUAUGGCUCAGAUUGAACGCUGGCGGGAUGCUUUACACAUGCAAGUCGAACGGCAACACGGACUUCGGUCUGGUGGCGAGUGGCGAACGGGUGAGUAAUGUAUCGAACGUGCCAGUAAGCGGGGGAUAACUACGAAAGGCGUAGCUAAUACCACAUACGCCCUUCGGGGAAAGCGGGGGACCUUCGGGCCUCACACUAUUAGAGCAGCCGAUAUCAGUUAGCUAAAUUUGGGUGAAGUAACGGCUCGCAAGGCGACGAUCAAUAGCUGGUUUUGAAAGGACGACUAAGCCACACUGGGACUGGAACACGUGACCCAGACUCCUACAGGAGGCAGCAGUGAAAUUUUGGUUAAUGGGAGAGCACAGUCCAAUAUCCCGCGCGUGUGCGAUGAAGGCCUUCAGGUUGUAAAGCACUUUUGGCGGAAAGAAACGGCACGGGAUAAUACCCCGUGCAACUGACGGUACCUGCAGAAUAAUACCGGCUAACUACGUGCCAGCAGCCGCGGUAAUACGUAAGUGCAAGCCCAAUCGGAAUUACUGGGCGUAAAGCGUGCACCAGGCGGUUCGGAAAGAAAGAUGUGAAAUCCCAGAGCUUAACUUUGGAACUGCAUUUUUAACUACCGAGCUAGAGUGUGUCAGAGGGAGGUGAAUUCCGCGUGUAGCAGUGAAAUGCGUAGAUAUGCGGAGGAACACCGAUGGCGAAGGCAGCCUCCUGGAAUAACACUGACGCUCAUGCACGAAAAGCGUGGGAGCAAACAGGAUUAGAUACCCUGGUAGUCCACGCCCUAAACGAUGUCAACUAGCUGUUGGGGCCUUCGGGCCUUGGUAGCGCAGCUAACGCGUGAGGUGAAGCCGCCUGGGAAGUACGGUCGCAAGAUUAAAACUCAAAGGAAUUGACGGGGACCCGCACAAGCGGUGGAUGAUGUGGAUUAAUUCGAUGCAACGCGAAAACCUUACCUACCCCUUGACAUGUCUGGAAUCCCGAAGAGAUUUGGGAGUGCUCGCGAAGGAGAACCGGAACACAGGUGCUGCAUGGCUGUCGUCAGCUCGUCGUGAGAUGUUGGGUUAAGUCCCGCAACGAGGCGCAACCCUUGUCAUUAGUUGCUACGAAAGGGCACUCUAAUGAGACUGCCGGUGACAAACCGGAGGAAGGUGGGGAUGACGUCAAGUCCUCAUGGCCCUUAUGGGUAAGGGCUUCACGUCAUACAAUGGUCAGGACAGAGGGUCGCCAACCCGCGAGGGGGAGCCCAAUCCCAGAAACCCGAUCGUAGUCGGAUCACCGAUCCUGCAACUCGACUGCGUGAAGUCGAAAUCGCUAGUAAUCGCAGAUCAGCAUUGCUGCCGGUGAAUACGUUCCCGGGCCUUGUACACACCGCCCAUCGUCACACCAUGGGAGUUUGUUGCACCAGAAGCAGGUAGCUUAACUAGCGGGGAGGGCGCUUGCCACGGUGUAGCCGAUGGCUAGGGUGAAGUCGUAACAAGGUAA
rnacentral:rRNA from 1 species